AGAGUUUGAUCAUGGCUCAGAAUUAACGCUGGCGGCAUGCCUAACGCAUGCAAGUCGAGCGAGAAACCACCCUUCGGGGUGGGAGUACAGCGGCGCACGGGUGAGUAGCGCGUGGGUAAUCUACCUCUAUCUGGGGGAUAACACACCGAAAGGUGUGCUAAUACCGCAUAAACCGGCAAACCUGCGGGGAAGUCGGGAAAGAUGGCCUCUUAUUAAAGCUGUCGGAUGGAGAUGAGCCCGCGUCCCAUUAGCUUGUUGGUAGGGUAACGGCCUACCAAGGCGACGAUGGGUAGCUGGUCUGAGAGGACGACCAGCCACACUGGAACUGGAACACGGUCCAGACUCCUACGGGAGGCAGCAGUGAGGAAUAUUGCGCAAUGGGGGAAACCCUGACGCAGCGAUGCCGCGUGGGUGAAGAAGGCUUUCGGGUCGUAAAGCCCUGUCAGGUGGGAAGAACAGUCUCUUAUUGAACAGAUAGGAGGCCUGACGGUACCACCGAAGGAAGCACCGGCUAACUCCGUGCCAGCAGCCGCGGUAAGACGGAGGGUGCAAGCGUUAUUCGGAAUCAUUGGGCGUAAAGAGUGUGUAGGCGGCCGGUUAAGUCAGGUGUGAAAGCCCAGGGCUCAACCCUGGAAGUGCACUUGAAACUGGUCGGCUUGAGUUCGGGAGAGGGUAGCGGAAUUCCUGGUGUAGAGGCGAAAUUCGUAGAUAUCAGGAGGAACACCGGUGGCGAAGGCGGCUACCUGGACCGAAACUGACGCUGAGACACGAAAGCGUGGGGAGCAAACAGGAUUAGAUACCCUAGUAGUCC
rnacentral:rRNA from 1 species